rnacentral:rRNA from 1 species
GACGAACGCUGGCGGCGCGCCUAACACAUGCAAGUCGAACGGAGCUGCGAGAAGCUUGCUUUUCUUAGCUUAGUGGCGAACGGGUGAGUAACGCGUGAGUAACCUGCCCUGGAGUGGGGGACAACAGUUGGAAACGACUGCUAAUACCGCAUAAGCCCACGAUCCGGCAUCGGAUUGAGGGAAAAGGAUUUAUUCGCUUCAGGAUGGACUCGCGCCCACUUAGCUAGUUGGUGGGGUAACGGCCCACCAAGGCGACAAUUGGUAGCCGGACUGAGAGGUUGAGCGGCCACAUUGGGACGGAGCCACGGCCCGGACUCCUACGGGAGGCAGCAGUGGGGGAUAUUGCACAAUGGCGGAAACGCUGAUGCAGCUACGCCGCGAGGAGGAAGAAGGUUUUCGGAUUGUAAACUCCUGUCGUUAGGGACGAUAAUGACGGUACCUAACAAGAAAGCACCGGCUAACUACGUG